rnacentral:tRNA from 1 species
CCGGACGUAGCGCAGAGGCAGACGCACCGCAUGGCAUGCGGGACACGCCGGUUCGAAUCCGGCCGUCCCGGCC